AUACGGAGGGUGCAAGCGUUGUCCGGAUUUAUUGGGUUUAAAGGGUGUGUAGGCGGUGUAUUAAGUCAGUGGUGAAAGCCUGCGGCUCAACCGUAGAACUGCCAUUGAUACUGACACACUUGAGUUCGGUUGAGGUAGGCGGAAUUUAUGGUGUAGCGGUGAAAUGCAUAGAUACCAUAAAGAACACCGAUAGCGAAGGCAGCUUACUAAGCCGAAACUGACGCUGAGGCACGAAAGCGUGGGGAGCGAACAGGAUUAGAUACCCCGGUAGUCC
rnacentral:rRNA from 1 species